CUCUGCCUUCUCUUCAUAGGUUUUGUUUGUUUGUUGUUAAUCCUCACCUGCGGGUAUUUUUUCCGUUGAUUUUUAGAGCGAAGAAGAGACACACAGAGAGAAACAUGGAUCGAUUGCUUCCCGCACGCUUGGGCAUGGGAUGGAGCCUGCAGCCAAGUCGUCUCCCUCUCCAGUCAGGAGCUCCGCAAGACAGGGACCUCGCCUGUCUUGUUUGCAGCUGUGUUACCAGAACCUAGAAUGGUGCCUGACCCACAGCAGGUGCUCAGUUGAUGUUUACUGUAUGAGUGAGUGGAUUCAACAUGAAGCAGAACUUUCUACAACCCGAACUAUCCAAAGGUGAACAGAGCUAAGUAGUACCUCAUCCCAGAAGGAUUAGAAGUACUGCUGCAAUGAUCCCGCAGGGAUACGUCUCCUGGUUCCUGUCUAAUAUCUAUUGAGUGCCAUGCAUAGCACUCAGUGCUCAGAGAAUUGUUGGUGAAGAAAAUAGAUGAAUCCUUCUGGUGCAGCAGCCAUUGAAAGCAGCAGCCAUGGAUCUGCACUACCCCAUGGCCAUGGGCCGCAACAAGGGCCUCAAAGUGAACAAGAAUGUGAGCAAGCCGAGUCACAGCCACUGCCACUGCCACCACUGCGGCAGGCACCCCCUCACCAAGCACCCCAACUUUGUGCAGGAGAUGGCUUGCGAGGUGUGCAGCUUUGCCCAGUAUGAGCGGCAUGCCAGAAAAGGGUGGAGACACAUCUCUGCACCAAGAAGAAGAGAAAAGAGCUGAGUAAUGUCCUGAUGGUCAAGAAGGACCGAACCUCCUUCCCCCUCUUUGGGCAACAGCUGGCACUUCACCCUCCUGAGCAUUGCCAGGACCGAAUCAGUCCCUGGACACUAAAGGGAUGCUGGGCUACAGGACUGCAGAUGGCUGCUCCUUCCUGACCAGGGCAGCUGUCUCCCUCCAUCUCCCCUUUCCUGCCACGCUGAAGCAGGGCGGUCCUCACACUUCCUCUCCUCCCCUCUUCUUUCCUCCCCUUCUCACUUAACUCGCCUCUCCCCUUGGAAGAUAGAAAAAACAAUUCUGGAACCAGACUAUGGGUUUGAAUUUAGCUCCAGCUGUGUGACCCCAAGCAAAUGAAUUAACUUCUCUGAUUCAGUUUCUUCAUCUAUAAAAUGGGAAGGGAAAAUGCAAAUUACCUCACAAAUUGUGAGGAUGAGUUAGUAAUUGUACAGUGCUUAGAACAGUCCUGAGCAAAAGGAGACUGCUGUAUAUGAGUGUUUGCAUAAUUAACCCUGGUAUUGAAGUAUGGUACCUAUUUGCUUUGUUUAACAAUGGACAGGUUACUUUGAUUUUCUAAAUUGUAUAAGUCAUCCCAUUUGAUUGAAUGCCUUAUCGAUUG